ACUAUAUUGCCUUGCACAUGUGCAAUUUACAUUAUUAAUUAUGCCUUUCAUUCAACUAUGCAUUUUAUUCAAUUAUAUAACGUUCUUUUAUUAUAUGCAGGAUGUGUGUCUUUGAAGUAAUAGGAUAUUGGGUUCAAAAAUGAGAGUUCGCUAUGAUAUCCAGAGCAACCCAGAUUUAACAAAUGUGCAGGUGUUCUCAAUUCUAAGCCUCACCUUAAUCUUCAAGCAACUGUGUUGUUCCUCUUCAACAGCAAUAUGCAUAGAUGGCAUGGUAUCUUCGCACAGAUUUUGGUUCUUCGUUUCUAAUUUGCAGGUGGUUCGAACCGGGGAGAUGGUGAACUUGGGGGUGAAUAUUGAUAUGAAGGAGCUUUAUAUAGAGGCUGAAAUUUGUUCUCCAAUUUUGAAUAUUGUCUUGGAACUAUGAAUCUUGCUGGAAACGUUUGAAGACCCAAGACUACAUUAAAGAGAUUGUUUUUUCGAAGCAUUU